rnacentral:rRNA from 1 species
GACGAACGCUGGCGGCGUGCUUAACACAUGCAAGUCGAACGGAAAGGCCCUGCUUUUGUGGGGUGCUCGAGUGGCGAACGGGUGAGUAACACGUGAGUAACCUGCCCUUGACUUUGGGAUAACUUCAGGACACUGGGGCUAAUACCGGAUAGGAGCUCCUGCUGCAUGGUGGGGGUUGGAAAGUUUCGGCGGUUGGGGAUGGACGCGCGGCUUAUCAGCUGGUUGGUGGGGUAGUGGCUUACCAAGGGUUUGACGGGUAGCCGGCCUGAGAGGAUGACCGGGCACAAUGGGAGUGCGGAACGGCCGAGACUCUUACGGGAGGGAGGAGUGGGGGAUAGUGGAAGAUGGGGGAAGGCAUGAUGCAGCAGUGCCGCGUGAGGGAUGAAGGCCUUAGGGUUGUAAAGCGCUUUUACACGGGAUGAUAAUGACGGUACCGGGAGAAUAAGCUCCGGCUAACUACGUG